rnacentral:rRNA from 1 species
GGACCAACUCGCGAUGCAUCUAGAUUCAGGUCUGUGAUGCCCUUAGAUGUCCUGGGCCGCACGCGCGUUACACUGAUGCAUUCAACGAGCUUAUAACCUUGGCCGAGAGGCCUGGGCAAUCUUGUUAACGUGCAUCGUGAUAGGGAUAGAUUAUUGAAAUUAUUAAUCUUGAACGAGGAAUUCCUAGUAAACGCAGAUCAUCAAUCUGCAUUGAAUCGG